rnacentral:rRNA from 1 species
AACGAACGCUGGCGGCAUGCCUAACACAUGCAAGUCGAACGAGACCUUCGGGUCUAGUGGCGCACGGGUGCGUAACGCGUGGGAACCUGCCCUUAGGUUCGGAAUAACUCCCCGAAAGGGGUGCUAAUACCGGAUAAUGUCUUCGGACCAAAGAUUUAUCGCCUUUGGAUGGGCCCGCGUUGUAUUAGCUAGUUGGUAGGGUAAAAGCCUACCAAGGCGACGAUCCAUAGCUGGUCUGAGAGGAUGAUCAGCCACACUGGGACUGAGACACGGCCCAGACUCCUACGGGAGGCAGCAGUGGGGAAUAUUGGACAAUGGGCGAAAGCCUGAUCCAGCAAUGCCGCGUGAGUGAUGAAGGCCUUAGGGUUGUAAAGCUCUUUUACCCGGGAUGAUAAUGACAGUACCGGGAGAAUAAGCACCGGCUAACUCCGUG